GUCAAAUGUAAAUUAAGAACACAUGAUAAGACCAAAGGUCAUCAUAACUAUUUUAAUGAAACAAUCAUGUAGGUUUGCGUCGUUUCUGUGUUCAUCGUGUUGGUAAUUGGUUCUAUUGCCGGCACUGAUUCAUGCGAUAAUAUAGAUUGUUCCCACGAAAUUGGCCAUCUUGGUUUUGUAAUGCCACGUUCGUCAAUACAUGUCUGUGGUAGCGACGGAGUUGAGUACACCAACCUUUGUGACUUCCGAAAAGCUUAUUGCAGAAACCCUACACUGACUGUACACGUUGGAAACUGCUAGAAAGAUGAUUAACAUGUGGAGUUAUCUGUAAGACGUAACAAUAAAUAUUAAAUUGUA